rnacentral:rRNA from 1 species
GAUGAACGCUGGCGGCGUGCCUAAUACAUGCAAGUCGAGCGAAUGACGAGGAGCUUGCUCCUCUGAUUUAGCGGCGGACGGGUGAGUAACACGUGGGUAACCUGCCUGUAAGACGGGGAUAACUCCGGGAAACCGGAGCUAAUACCGGAUGAUAACGAGAAGCGCCUGCUUCUUUUUUGAAAGUCGGUUUCGGCUGACGCUUACAGAUGGGCCCGCGGCGCAUUAGCUAGUUGGUGAGGUAACGGCUCACCAAGGCGACGAUGCGUAGCCGACCUGGGAGGGUGAUCGGCCACACUGGGACUGAGACACGGCCCAGACUCCUACGGGAGGCAGCAGUAGGGAAUCUUCGGCAAUGGACGAAAGUCUGACCGAGCAACGCCGCGUGAGCGAUGAAGGCCUUCGGGUCGUAAAGCUCUGUUGUCAGAGAAGAACAAGUACCGGAGUAACUGCUCGUACCUUGACGGUACCUAACCAGAAAGCCACGGCUAACUACGUGCCAGCCGCCGCAGUAAAAC